rnacentral:rRNA from 1 species
UCAGGGGUAAACCUGAGAAACCCGAAAGAUCGAAUGGGGAGAUUCAGCGUGUCUCGUCGCAGGAGCGUUGCUGGUCGCGCGACGAUUCGGUCCUUGCACCGGGCUGCACCUUCUCGAUCCGUAACCGUCGGCGCACUCGUGCACUUCUCCCCUAGUAGGACGUCGCGACCCGUUGGGUGUCGGUCUAAGGCCGACGGUGGAGACUCGGGUGAUUUUCUUCUCGGACAUCGCGCAAGACCCGUCGUGUCCCGGCCGGCUCGCUCGACGGUGCGACAUAGGCGUGGGGCCGCCAAUUGUUGGCGUCCGGCCCGUCGCAAGCGCGGGCGGCCGUUCGGAUGUCGGACCUAUGCGCCGACCCCGGGCUGGCCGGCUGUUGGUGACGGUGUCCUCGGACAGGCUUGGAACACGUCGGUCGGCGACGCUCUAGCUUUGGGUACUUUCAGGACCCGUCUUGAAACACGGACCAAGGAGUCUAGCAUGUGCGCGAGUCAUUGGGACCGCAUC